AUUUAAUUAUUAAUUAUAUUAAAUUCAAUUCUAAAAUAGAUGGCAACCUCCUACAAAAAUUUGUUCGUUUGUGAACCUUGUUAAACUUCUUUCUUGUAACAGCCAUAUUGUUUUAUUUAAUUUUUCUUAUCAAUUUAUCUAAACUGCAAUUUUCAAACAGCUGGCAACCCUCUAAUUUUUCUUCGUCUCUUUUUUAAGUUAGACUUCAGGCAAUACAGCAAUUGACAAUUUAAUUCGAUUUUAUUUUUUAGUUUUCGAGUGAUGCGCAUACAAACAUACAGACAGAUAGACAGACAAAAAUUCUAAGAAUUGUUGAUUUGGCAGCUGUUGCUCUACUAAAGACCCCCUCCUUGUCGUGCAACUGCAACUGAAUACCCCAUUGAACUCCGACCAUUUUACUUCAUAAUAUUUAUGUACACUAGAAAAGAGCAUUCUUCUGUUGAAUUCUGUGCAAUAUUUUUUUUUGUUUACAUUUAUAUGAAAUAAAUGGCUAAUUGUUGAUAAAUAUGUAAAUUGGUUAAAAAUUUGGGUGUGAAAUAAAUAUUGAGAUUGAUUGAGAAAUUGAUACGAUCGCUUAAACACCAAUUGCCCAUUAAGCUACAUCAAUGCGGAAGAAUAAAUAAAAUUUUUAUAAAAUGUUGAAGCAUAUACAUACAUAGAUGCCUACUUCCACAUAUGCAUACAUACAUACGUUCACUACGUUACGAAGUACAUCGGAUAAACCUAUAAAAGAUAUAUAUAUAUGUAUAUGUAUUUAAAAUUUAAAUCAUUAAUCCAAAAGUGUUGAAAAAUUAUAUAUUUUAAUUAGAUAAUACACUGACUCAAUUAUUCAGAUGGCGAUAUAAAUUUAUGUUUACAUGUAGAAAAUAAAACUGAAAAUGAAAUUGAUAUAUUGCGAAUUUCAAAUGUUAGC